rnacentral:rRNA from 1 species
GUGACUUAGUUUAACGGCCGCGGUACCCUAACCGCGCGAAGGUAGCAUAAUCACUUGUUCUUUAAAUGAGGACUUGUAUCAACGGCAUCACGAGGGUUUUACUGUCUCCUUUUCCUAAUCAGUGAAACUAAUCUCCCCGUGAAGAAGCGGGGAUAAACCUAUAAGACGAGAAGACCCCAUGGAGCUUUAAACCUAGCUACAAUCCAAUUUUUAUACACCCACUCAUUAAAUAGGAUUUUGUAUGCUCAGUUUUAGGUUGGGGUGACCGCGGAGUACAAAUUAACCUCCACGAUAAACGAAACUUUUCUUAUCUAAGAGUUACACCUCUAAGAAUUAGUAUACUAAUAUUAAAUGAUCCGAUAAUCGAUCAACGGACCAAGUUACCCUGGGGAUAACAGCGCAAUCCAUUUCAAGAGCCCCUAUCGACAAAUGGGUUUACGACCUCGAUGUUGGAUCAGGAUAUCCUAGUGGUGCAGCAGCUACUAAAGGUUCGUUUGUUCAACGAUUAAAAUCCUACGUGAUCUGAGUUCAGACCGGAUAAUCCAGGA